GCCCUAGUAGCUCAGACAUCAAAGCAC
rnacentral:tRNA from 1 species